CCUUAAGAUAACCCUGGUAGUCCACCCCCGUAAACGUUGGGAACUUAGUUGUUGGGACCAUUCCACGGUUUCCCGUGACGCAGCUAACGCAUUAAGUUCCCCGCCUGGGGAGUACGGCCGCAAGGCUAAAACUCAAAGGAAUUGACGGGGACCCCGCACAAGCGGCGGAGCAUGCGGAUUAAUUCGAUGCAACGCGAAGAACCUUACCAAGGCUUGACAUAUACGAGAACGGGCCAGAAAUGGUCAACUCUUUGGACACUCGUAAACAGGUGGUGCAUGGUUGUCGUCAGCUCGUGUCGUGAGAUGUUGGGUUAAGUCCCGCAACGAGCGCAACCCUCGUUCUAUGUUGCCAGCACGUAAUGGUGGGAACUCAUGGGAUACUGCCGGGGUCAACUCGGAGGAAGGUGGGGAUGACGUCAAAUCAUCAUGCCCCUUAUGUCUUGGGCUUCACGCAUGCUACAAUGGCCGGUACAAAGGGCUGCAAUACCGUGAGGUGGAGCGAAUCCCAAAAAGCCGGUCCCAGUUCGGAUUGAGGUCUGCAACUCGACCUCAUGAAGUCGGAGUCGCUAGUAAUCGCAGAUCAGCAACGCUGCGGUGAAUACGUUCCCGGGUCUUGUACACACCGCCCGUCAAGUCAUGAAAGUCGGUAACACCUGAAGCCGGUGGCCCAACC
rnacentral:rRNA from 1 species